rnacentral:rRNA from 1 species
CCUUGUCUUGUGAGGGAUUCACUCAAAUUUUUAUAGAUCUUGGCUCACUGUUAUUUAACAACGCUUAGUAGUUUAGGGGGUUGAGUUUUAAUUUUUGUUUAGGUUUAGGGGGGUCAAAAGACAAGGACAGCUGGCGUUGUGGGUGGGGCCGACGGGUGGUCCGCAAGCUCGUUAACGGCGGAGCGGCGCGGAGGAGCCUACCGAGGCGAUGGCCGCUGGCCGGAGCGGAAGAGGUGGUGCUGUAGGAGCGUGGGCGACUAGACGAGCGAGCUGCCGCGUUGUCUACCUUCCUUCGGUGGUCCUGUAGCAGGAGUCCACCCCGGGGUGGCACCGCCCGCCGCGCGCCGCGAUCGUCUCGCGCUAAGUAGAGCCGCCACACCGCACCGCGCUACCACAGGCGGCGGCACCUUCCUUCGGUACCCGCGCUAACAAGCCGCGGCGUCUGGAGCGCGCAUGGGGGGGACCGAACGCGCCGCUUGUCGAGCUUGAGCGCGGCGUGACGGCGCGUUGCUUGGAAGUGUGCCGAGCGCCUGCGAUGAGGCAGGUCCACUCAAUUCCUCAUUUAGAGCGUAACUAAUGCAACGUGUCCCUCCAAAUGUAUAUACGUCAACGGUCGAGGUCAUGGGUGCGUGCACGAUACAUCUAGGAUAUAAGGUCCUCUACCUUAGCCAUUCAAUGUUGUGUGUGCAAUAUGAAUGUGUUUAUGUACAUGUUGAGUUGUUCCACACGACACACCAAUAGAAGUCGUAAAAACAUCUAGAAUAAACACCUAUUGACCUAAGAUGAAUCCAUUGUCAUACGAAGUUACGAACGGGUAAGGUCCUCUCACCAGAAUUUCCGGAAUGAAGAGAAGGACGUUUGAUUUUGACAUG